CGAACUCGAGAAACGGGGCGAAUGCAAGUCCAAAAGUGCCAUGCUACUUUAUAUUCGAGGACUCGUUAUUAGAUAAUGGGAACAGUAAUAACCUUGCAACGUCGGCCGAAGUAAACUAUCCACCUUACGGGAUUGAUUUUUCCCGAGGACCAACCGGAAGGUUUACCGAUGGUCGAACCAUGCAUGAUUUUAUCUUUAAGUUUUUGGGGUUCGAAGAUUAUAUGCCACCUUUCGCCGAAUCGGAAGGGAA